UUAUUUAUAAAUUUAUAUUUUUAAUUUUUUUAUUUAAUAAAAAUAAUUUUUAAUUUUUAGUAAUUUUUAAUGAAAAAAUAUAUUUAUAUAUAGAAAAUAAGUAUAGUUAUAGAAUUUAUUUUUAUUUUAUAAGUAAAAUUGAUUUUUUGUACCUUUUGUAUCAGGGAUUAUUAAAAAUAUUUUAUUAAUUAAAAUUUCUCGAUUUUAUAAGAGAUAAAAUUAUAUGUAUCUUUUUGUUGAAUAACAAUUUAUUAUAUAAUUUUUGUUGUUAAAAGUUAUUCGUUUAUAAAUAUAUCUGGUUUUAAAAGAAUUUAAUUUAAUUUGUUUAAUUAAUUAUAAAUUUUAUUAUUAAUAAUUUUUUUAUAUUAUUUAAAUAAAAAUUUUAGGGAUUAGCUUGAAAUUUUCAUUUAUAAUUUAUUUAUGAGUAAAAUAAUUGUAGGAUUAGAAAUUUUUAUCAAUUAAAAUAGUGUUAUUAUUUAUAUUUUAUUUUAUAAAAUUUAUUUUUAUUUUUAAUUAAUUUAUUUUAAAUUUUAUUUUAAUUUUUAAAUAAAGUUAUAAUGAUAAUAUUAGUAUUAAUAUAUUUAUUAAGUUUUAUUUUAUAAAGAUUAUAAAAAGGAAUUCGGCAAAUUUUAUAUUCACCUGUUUAUCAAAAACAUGUCUUUUUGAUUAUAAUUUAAAGUCAGGCCUGCCCACUGAUUUAUUGAAGGGCCGCAGUAUAUUGACUGUGCUAAGGUAGCAUAAUCAUUUGUUUUUUAAUUGAAAACUGGAAUGAAAGGUUAAAUGAAAUAUAAACUGUCUUUUUAUAAAAAAAUUAAAAAUUUAAAUUUUAAAUUAAAAUGUUUAAAUUAAUAUAAAAGACGAGAAGACCCUAUAGAUCUUUAUAAUUAUUUUUAAAUAAUAAUUUAAAUAUAUAAAUUUAAUUUUUAAAUAAAUUAUUUAAUUGGGGUGAUUUAAAAAUUUAUUAAACUUUUUAAUAAUAUAACCAAUUUAAUUGAUAUUUUGAUCCAUUGUUUAUGAUUAAUAGAUUAAGUUACCUUAGGGAUAACAGCGUAAUUUUUUUGGGGAGUUCAUAUCUAUAAAAAAGAUUGCGACCUCGAUGUUGAAUUAAAGUUAGUUUUAGGAGUAGAAAUUUAAAAUUUUAGUCUGUUCGACUAUUUAACUUUACAUGAUUUGAGUUCAGACCGGCGUGAGCCAGGUUAGUUUCUAUCUUUAUUUAAUUAAAAUAUUUUAGUACGAAAGGACCAUAUAUUUUAAAUAUUUUAUUUAUUAUAUAGACUAUUAAUAAUUUU
rnacentral:rRNA from 1 species